GCAGACACAUUCCAGCCAAUCAGCAGCAGACCCUCCCUCCCAGACCCUCCCACCUCCUGGACAGCAUCCAUUUUACAUUCAUUGUGAAGCUGCAUUCUUAGUGAGCUGUCCAGGAGGUGGGAGAGUCUGGGAGGGAGGGUCUGCUGCUGAUUGGCUGGAAUGUGUCU